GACGAACGCUGGCGGCAUGCCUAAUACAUGCAAGUAGAACGCAGUUGCGAACGGGUGAGUAACGCGUAGGUAACUGCCUGGUAGCGGGGGAUAACUAUUGGAAACGAUAGCUAAUACCGCAUACUACCAGCUGGACCUGCGUUGUAUUAGCUAGUUGGUGGGGUAACGGCCCAACAAGGCAACGAUACAUAACCUACCUGAGAGGGAGAUCGGCCACACUGGGACUGAGACAAGGCCCAGACUCCUACGGGAGGCAGCAGUAGGGAAUCUUCGGCAAUGGGGGGAACCCUGACCAAGCAACUGCGCGUGAGUGAAGAAGGUUUUCGGAUCGUAAAGCUCUGUUGUUAAGGAAGCGGUACUUAACCAGAAAGGGACGGCUAACUACGUGCCAGCCGCCGCGGUAAUUC
rnacentral:rRNA from 1 species